CAAGAAAAAUAGUCUAUGACAACAUCAUAUUUACAACAUGCUGUAAAUGCUCGUUGUCAUCUCUAAUAUUCUACAACAUGCGCAGAAAGAGUGUUGUAUUAAAUUAUUUACCACUACAUGCAUCAUUUGCAUGUUGUUAAUUUCGUUAUCGAUAACUCAGUUUGCACGUUGUUGUCUACUUGUUGUCAAUUAAUGUAUCAACAAGUAGGAGUGCAUGUUGUUAAAUAUUUUCAAAACAACAACGUGCAGCUAACGCGGUCGAAACUUUGAGAUAAAAGAUUAAAAAAAAAAGAAAAAACAAAAGGGCCUGUUGACUAAAGUCAGUAAAAAAAAGAAGCAUCAGCUCUCUAAAUCCAUCAUAGACCCAAAACAUAUAAAAUCCUGGGCUUGAAGAAUUGAGCUCUGAAGCUCUCAAUUCUCAAACCCUAAACCGCCCGAAACGAUCGCUUCCCUCCGUCGCCACUCUCAAUUGGAUCGACGACUUCACUAUGGAGCAAGACUGCUUGUCCGGCGUCGCCGCCGUCGAGCACGUCCUGCUUAGCCGACGGCAGGGUCGAGUUUGCCUUUGGCUGAGCUCCUCCAAUCCCUCCCGUAGUCCCAUACCUCCCAAGCGCCGCCCAGCGUCGGCUACGUCCUUACUAGUUCAUCCUCUGCCUCGGCUCCGUCGACCGCGCCACUGACUCCGCCGACCUCGGUUGUCAAUCUCUAAUGCAUUUCCGGCGUUACGGCUACGAAGUUUGAGGUACAGUUUCUGUCAAGAUGGAGAAACAAUGGCUGCAAUUUGAUAGAGAAAAGGAACAGACAAAGAAGAGGAAAAGAGGUGAUGAAGAACAGAAAAAGAAGGGGAAAAAGAAGAGGAGGAAGUGGACCAAUCAAUGCUCCAAGCAAUGAUCUUGAAAAUAGCAGAUGUGCACUUUUGAAUUGGAACAAUUAUGAAGAAGAUGAAGUGGUAGCUGAAGGAAUGAUCUCUUCAACAAAUCCAAGUACAAAAGUUCAUUGUGUGCCUCUUGGACGAAAUUGUUGGAAGGUUUGGGUUGAUGUGGUGUUUGAUGAGUAUCAGACUAUGGAAGUGUACAGAUUAACCAUGGAUGCCAAACAACUUGGUGAAGCUAUAGGAAGCACUCUUGCAUGGCCCAAAAGCUCCAUUGAAAUGCUUCCUUAGUAGUUGAAGUAGCAGGUACAUUUUGCUUUACUAGAGAAUUUAUGUAGGUCAGGAAGUACCAUGCAUGUUUUGUCAAUGCUGGUGAACAAAGAAUCCAGUACUUUGUCAUGCAUGUUUUGUAAAGAACAUAUGUAUAAGAGAAUGUGGCACUCCUAAUGAAAUGUAUAUUUUUCAUA